rnacentral:rRNA from 1 species
UACAGAGGGCUCAAGCGUUGGUCGGAUUCAUUGGGCGUAAAGGGUGCGUAGGCGGCGCGGUAAGUCGGGUGGGAAAUCUCGGAGCUUAACUCCGAAACUGCAUUCGAUACUGCCGUGCUUGAGGACUGGAGAGGAGACUGGAAUUUACGGUGUAGCGGUGAAAUGCGUAGAUAUCGUAAGGAAGACCAGUGGCGAAGGCGGGUCUCUGGACAGUUCCUGACGCUGAGGCACGAAGGUCAGGGGAGCAAACGGG